rnacentral:rRNA from 1 species
UACGAAGGGGGCUAGCGUUGUUCGGAAUCACUGGGCGGAAAGGGCGCGUAGGCGGCCGAUCAAGUCGGGGGUGAAAGCCUGUGGCUCAACCACAGAAUUGCCUUCGAUACUGUUUGGCUUGAGACCGGAAGAGGUAAGUGGAACUGCGAGUGUAGAGGUGAAAUUCGUAGAUAUUCGCAAGAACACCAGUGGCGAAGGCGGCUGACUGGUCCGGUUCUGACGCUGAGGCGCGAAAGCGUGGGGAGCAAACAGG